UACAGAGGGGGCAAGCGCUGUCCGGACUUACUGGGUGUAAAGCGCAUGCAGGUGGCUGUGCAAGUAUGCUGUGAAAGCCCCGUGCUUAACACGGGGAGGCCAGUAUAGACUGCACGGCUCGAGGACUGCAGAGGGUAGGGGAAUUGCUGGUGUAGUGGUGAAAUGCGUAGAGAUCAGCAGGAACACCAAGGCCGAAGGGACCUACCUGGGCAGUAUCUGACACUCAAGUGCGACAGCGUGGGGAGCGAACCGG
rnacentral:rRNA from 1 species